CACCAAUCAUUUAAUAUACAAUCAACCACCAUAAGAAUACAAACAUUAAAAAUCAAAUUAUUUACAAAAUUUAUCGAGGUUCCAAAUCCAAACUACAAAACAUACAAAAGACUAAAAAUUACAACUCAUCAUCCGCAUCCUCAUUCUUAGCCUCACCCAUUCUAUUAUCAAUAUUUCGUUGAUAUAUCCGGCUAUAAUCAAGUUCCAUCUACACAAUCAAUCACAUUCAAGUAAUUAGUUAAGUCAAAAAAAUUCACAUUUCAAGUACCUACACUUAAACAUUUUCAAGUCACUAAUUCACUUCUCAAGUGACCACACUUUACUAAAAUGAAAACACAAGUUCACAUUUCAAGUUCCUAAAUUCAAAAUGAAAAGUUCACAUUUCAAAUACCUACACCUAAACAUUUUCAAGUCACUAAUUCACUUCACAAGUCACCAAACUAAACUUAAUUCAAAAUGAAAAGUUCACAUUUCAAGUACCUACACCUAAACAUUUUCAAGUCACUAAUUCACUUCACAAGUCACCAAACUAAACUUAAUUCAAAAUGAAAAAUUCACAUUUCAAGUACCUACACUUAAACAUUUCAAGUCACUAAUUCACUUCACAAGUCACCAAACUGAACUAAAUUCAAAAUGAAAAAUUCACAUUUCAAGUACCUACAUCUAAACAUUUCAAGUCACUAAUUCACUUCACAAGUUACCAAACUGAACUAAAUUCAAAAUGAAAAGUUCACAUUUCAAGUACCUACACUUUAAACAUUUUCAAGUCACUAACUCACUUCUAAAGUGACCACACUUAACUAUAUUCAAAACAGAAGUCCACCUUUCAAGUAACUACACUUAAAAAUUUUCGACUCACUAAUGCACUUCUCAAAUGACCACACUAAACUAAAUUCAAAACACAAGUCCACAUUUCAAGUACCUGCACAUAAACAUUUUCAAGUCAUUUAUUCACUUCUCGAGACCACACUUAACUAAAUUCAAAACACAAAUCCACAUUUCAAGUACCUACACUUAAAUAUUUUCAAGUCAUUAACUCACAUCUCAAGAGACCACACUUAACUAAAUUCAAAACACAAGUCCACAAUCAAGUACCUACACUUAAACAUUUUCAAGUCACUAACGCACUUCUCAAGAGAUCACAGUUAACUAAAUUUAAAACACAAAUCCACAUUUCAAGUACCUACACUUAAAUAUUUUUGACUCACUAACUCAAUUCUCUAGUGACCACACUUAACUAUAUUCAAAACACAAGUCCACCUUUCAAGUAACUACACUUAAACAUUUUUGACUCACUAAUUCACUUCUCAAAUGACCACACUUGACUAAAUUCAAAACACAAGUCCAUGUUUCAAAUAC
rnacentral:lncRNA from 1 species